CUGCCAUCGGGUUCUCAUUUCUCAAUUUGAAUCUCAGAUUUUCAAUCGGGAAAAUCCACCAUUUUUGCUGUCCAUUUCUCUUCCAGCACACUAAUACCUAGAGGCCAGGUUUACUUUCUUCUAAUUUCCUUUUGUUUUUUUUCCAAUUUCUUCAAUGGCAGAUAUAUUUUUAAUUUUAGGGUUUUGUUUUGUUUAGUUCGUCUACCUUGCCGACAGCUCCCCUUAUCCCUCCGUAAAAAUUCAAGUAGUAAUUUCUUCAGUAUUUUUGUUAUUAACAUGCUGGAAAGUGGAAACUACGUAUAAAGUUCGAUUUUAUAAUUUAUACUGUUUUACCAUCAAAAGAGGCAAUGGUUUUUGAGUUUUUAGCAAAAAAAAUUAAUCAAUGGUGUAUCAUGGAGAGUGAUACAAUAAUUACUUAAGAAACUGAAGCCAUAACAUACUAAUUUUCUCAUAUGCAUGUAUGUAUGUACAUUUACUGUUGUCAUCGCCUUCAAUUUGAAAGAUACUGAAUUUGUUUUGAAAAUUGUUUCCAUUUCAAAUUUCAAAGAUAUUGGCAUUAUAUUAAGAUAUAAUUGUUUCAAUUACUUCAUCACUCUUGCUUUGCUUGCUGUUCAUGCUCCUAAUUUGCAUAUGCUAACUCGCAGCAAUCUGGAAAACAACCUUCAAGCAAUAGGUAAAAGAGUAUCUGCAGGCUGCAUUUAGGUAAAAGAGUAUCUACAAACUCUAUUUAGGUAAAACACUCAACUAAUAGACCUCAAUUCAAAUGCAUAUGAAUCCUCUCCAUAUGCUAUCCUAUGCUUUAAAUAUUAACUCUUUUUCACAUGUAAGUCUUUAGAGAUGAGGAAAUGCUUUCUCAAUUCUCACUAUUAUUUAAUUUGUCUAUUUUGUAAAGGGUCAGAGUUUUGCUCUGUUUUUGCUCAUUUAACACCAUGCAUCAAACUCUGAUGUACUAUAAUGGCUGAAUUAAAUAAAUUAGGAAAUGGAAAUCUCAUGAUUGUGAUAGGACCUGAGCAAAGAUACAUUAAAAAAACCAAGCAUAAACAGAUUGUCAAACUGGUUUCAAAGCAGUCGUGUAAAAUGAACAUGUGGGUUCUGUUAUGGGCGAAAAACCAAAUCUGAUGCCACCCCACCCAUCGAUUAAAUCGGUUAAGUCGGUUAAUUUGGUUAAAUUGGUUAAAUUGAGCAAAUCGGUUAAAUAGGUUAAAUCGGUUAAUUUUUAACCAAAAAUAAAAAUCAUAUGAUUUUUGGUUAAUUCGGUUAAUCGAUUGGUUUAACCAAAAAAAUUCAGUUCGAUUAACGGUUAAAAAAUUUUGAAGGUCGGUUAAUUCAGUUAUAACUAAUUCAGGUCGGUUAACCGGUCAGUUAACCGAAUGCACACCCCUACGCUAGUAUAUAAGCUUUAAAAAUAAUAGUGUUUGUUUUUUGACACAGAAAGAGCUUGUGAUCUAGUGGCAAGGUGGCUUGUGCUGUAACUGUGAGGUUUGAGGUUCAAGUCUUGGGUUGCGCAUUGGAGUAUUUAUUUUACUGCUUGAGCUAGGUAGGCGGUGGAGUUGGAUUAGAAUACUGCUUAAGGGAGUUUGAACUGGUCAUGGAGGAAAUUAAGGAGGGGAUAAGGGGAGAGAUUUUAGGAGAAAAUCAAAGAGUUUGAGAGUGAGGGGGAAGUGUGUCGUUUGGGGGUAAUUCAACUUGGAAAAAUCAGUUAAGGGAGGGGUUUUGUGCCGAAUUUUCUUUAGUCAGUAAGGUAAUCAGUUUGAGGGUCUUUCUUUACUCUGUUUGCUUCGGUUUUAUUUAGCUUUUCCUUCUCCCUUUUGGUUUUCUUUGUGCCGAUUUUCACAAUGGACCUUGGGAACCUCUCGGGUUUGUUCAUCUACCUUUUUCUACUUUUCCUUUAUUUCUUUUUUGAUUGGGGUGGUCGAAUAGUUUUUGCAUCCUCUCUACAAAUCAUUUUUCCUCUUUCUUCUUCUUUUUGUGUUGCAUCUUCGCUUCUUAUCUCUUCUUCUCCUCUCCAUUUUUGUGUUACAAGUAUUCUCGACUACUGGUAAGUGCUAUGCUCUUCAUUAUGUUCUCUUAUUUUUCUCUUUUUAAAAUAGGAUAGCCUCCGUAAUACUUUGAUUUCUGACUGCUGAUGUUUUUCUCUCGAUAUGCUACUUGUUGCUGUGUUAAG
rnacentral:lncRNA from 1 species